rnacentral:rRNA from 1 species
UACAGAGGGUGCGAGCGUUGUCCGGAAUCACUGGGCGUAAAGCGCACGUAGGCGGAUUGUUAAGUCAGGGUGAAAUCCUGGAGCUCAACUCCAGAACUGCCUUUGAUACUGGCGAUCUCGAGUCCGGGAGAGGUGAGUGGAACUGCGAGUGUAGAGGUGAAAUUCGUAGAUAUUCGCAAGAACACCAGUGGCGAAGGCGGCUCACUGGCCCGGUACUGACGCUGAGGUGCGAAAGCGUGGGGAGCAAACAGG